GGGUUGUGAGGUUAAGCGACUAAGCGUACACGGUGGAUGCCCUGGCAGUCAGAGGCGAUGAAGGGCGUGCUAAUCUGCGAUAAGCGCCGGUAAGGUGAUAUGAACCGUUAUAACCGGCGAUACCCGAAUGGGGAAACCCAGUGUGACUCGUCACACUAUCAUUAACUGAAUCCAUAGGUUAAUGAGGCGAACCGGGGGAACUGAAACAUCUAAGUACCCCGAGGAAAAGAAAUCAACCGAGAUUCCCCCAGUAGCGGCGAGCGAACGGGGAGGAGCCCAGAGCCUGAAUCAGCAUGUGUGUUAGUGGAAGCGUCUGGAAAGGCGCGCGAUACAGGGUGACAGCCCCGUACACAAAAGCGCAUGUGCUGUGAGCUCGAUGAGUAGGGCGGGACACGUGGUAUCCUGUCUGAAUAUGGGGGGACCAUCCUCCAAGGCUAAAUACUCCUGACUGACCGAUAGUGAACCAGUACCGUGAGGGAAAGGCGAAAAGAACCCCGGCGAGGGGAGUGAAAAAGAACCUGAAACCGUGUACGUACAAGCAGUGGGAGCNNNNNNNNNNNNNNNNNNNNNNNNNNNNNNNGGGCGUUAAGUUGCAGGGUAUAGACCCGAAACCCGGUGAUCUAGCCAUGGGCAGGUUGAAGGUUGGGUAACACUAACUGGAGGACCGAACCGACUAAUGUUGAAAAAUUAGCGGAUGACCUGUGGCUGGGGGUGAAAGGCCAAUCAAACCGGGAGAUAGCUGGUUCUCCCCGAAAGCUAUUUAGGUAGCGCCUCGUGAAUUCAUCUCCGGGGGUAGAGCACUGUUUCGGCUAGGGGGCCAUCCCGGCUUACCAACCCGAUGCAAACUGCGAAUACCGGAGAAUGUUAUCACGGGAGACACACGGCGGGUGCUAACGUCCGUCGUGAAGAGGGAAACAACCCAGACCGCCAGCUAAGGUCCCAAAGUCAUGGUUAAGUGGGAAACGAUGUGGGAAGGCCCAGACAGCCAGGAUGUUGGCUUAGAAGCAGCCAUCAUUUAAAGAAAGCGUAAUAGCUCACUGGUCGAGUCGGCCUGCGCGGAAGAUGUAACGGGGCUAAACCAUGCACCGAAGCUGCGGCAGCGANNUGCUGGAGGUAUCAGAAGUGCGAAUGCUGACAUAAGUAACGAUAAAGCGGGUGAAAAGCCCGCUCGCCGGAAGACCAAGGGUUCCUGUCCAACGUUAAUCGGGGCAGGGUGAGUCGACCCCUAAGGCGAGGCCGAAAGGCGUAGUCGAUGGGAAACGGGUUAAUAUUCCCGUACUUGGUGUUACUGCGAAGGGGGGACGGAGAAGGCUAUGUUGGCCGGGCGACGGUUGUCCCGGUUUAAGCGUGUAGGUGUGUGUUCCAGGUAAAUCCGGUUCACUUUAACACUGAGGCGUGACGACGAGGCACUACGGUGCUGAAGCAACAAAUGCCCUGCUUCCAGGAAAAGCCUCUAAGCAUCAGGUAACAUCAAAUCGUACCCCAAACCGACACAGGUGGUCAGGUAGAGAAUACCAAGGCGCUUGAGAGAACUCGGGUGAAGGAACUAGGCAAAAUGGUGCCGUAACUUCGGGAGAAGGCACGCUGACACGUAGGUGAAGUGAUUUACUCAUGGAGCUGAAGUCAGUCGAAGAUACCAGCUGGCUGCAACUGUUUAUUAAAAACACAGCACUGUGCAAACACGAAAGUGGACGUAUACGGUGUGACGCCUGCCCGGUGCCGGAAGGUUAAUUGAUGGGGUCAGCGCAAGCGAAGCUCCUGAUCGAAGCCCCGGUAAACGGCGGCCGUAACUAUAACGGUCCUAAGGUAGCGAAAUUCCUUGUCGGGUAAGUUCCGACCUGCACGAAUGGCGUAAUGAUGGCCAGGCUGUCUCCACCCGAGACUCAGUGAAAUUGAACUCGCUGUGAAGAUGCAGUGUACCCGCGGCAAGACGGAAAGACCCCGUGAACCUUUACUAUAGCUUGACACUGAACAUUGAGCCUUGAUGUGUAGGAUAGGUGGGAGGCUUUGAAGUGUGGACGCCAGUCUGCAUGGAGCCGACCUUGAAAUACCACCCUUUAAUGUUUGAUGUUCUAACGUGGACCCGUUACCCGGGUUGCGGACAGUGUCUGGUGGGUAGUUUGACUGGGGCGGUCUCCUCCUAAAGAGUAACGGAGGAGCACGAAGGUUGGCUAAUCCUGGUCGGACAUCAGGAGGUUAGUGCAAUGGCAUAAGCCAGCUUGACUGCGAGCGUGACGGCGCGAGCAGGUGCGAAAGCAGGUCAUAGUGAUCCGGUGGUUCUGAAUGGAAGGGCCAUCGCUCAACGGAUAAAAGGUACUCCGGGGAUAACAGGCUGAUACCGCCCAAGAGUUCAUAUCGACGGCGGUGUUUGGCACCUCGAUGUCGGCUCAUCACAUCCUGGGGCUGAAGUAGGUCCCAAGGGUAUGGCUGUUCGCCAUUUAAAGUGGUACGCGAGCUGGGUUUAGAACGUCGUGAGACAGUUCGGUCCCUAUCUGCCGUGGGCGCUGGAGAACUGAGGGGGGCUGCUCCUAGUACGAGAGGACCGGAGUGGACGCAUCACUGGUGUUCGGGUUGUCAUGCCAAUGGCACUGCCCGGUAGCUAAAUGCGGAAGAGAUAAGUGCUGAAAGCAUCUAAGCACGAAACUUGCCCCGAGAUGAGUUCUCCCUGAGACUUAGAGUCUCCUGAAGGAACGUUGAAGACGACGACGUUGAUAGGCCGGGUGUGUAAGCGCAGCGAUGCGUUGAGCUAACCGGUACUAAUGAACCGUGAGGCUUAACCUUACAACGCCGAAG
rnacentral:rRNA from 2 species